UCGCAUUGGUCUCAAACCAAUGACAUGCACUUCGAAGACCAUGAGUUCGAGGUGGACGAGGAGGGUGAGGGCAUUGUCGAUGCACCGAAAGGAAGAGCGGACAAUUACACCAAUGUCGAUGACAUCUUACUAUGCAAUACUUGGUUGCAAGUGUCGAGGGAUCCAUCCGUUAGAGGUGAUCAAAGUAGAGAUGCUUAUUGGGGGCGGAUGAAAGAACACUUUGAUGUUCACAACUUGAGUGGAAUUGACCGCUCCGAGAGAUCACUACGGUCCCGAUGGUCGACAAUCAACUCGGAUUGUCAAAGAUGGGCGGCCUGUCAAAAGGCGGUUGACAAG
rnacentral:rRNA from 1 species